CUAUUCUCAAACUUUAAAUAUGUAAGAAGCCCUUGUUACUUAAGUGAACGUGGGCAUGCGAAUGAGAGUUUCUAGUGGGCCAUUUUUGGUAAGCAGAACUGGCGAUGCGGGAUGAACCGAACGCGGGGUUAAGGUGCCAGAAUAUACGCUCAUCAGACACCACAAAAGGUGUUAGUUCAUCUAGACAGCAGGACGGUGGCCAUGGAAGUCGGAAUCCGCU
rnacentral:rRNA from 1 species